CAGCCGGGUGGGGGGUUGGGAAACCGCGGCUCAGGUUUCUAAGCCUAGGCUUCCCCCCUCACUGUGCGGUGCAACAGGCACCACUGUGAUGUUAGCACACAGCGUGAUGGGGGCUCGGUGCAGCUUUCCUCCGCUCCCAUGGAGCAGCUCUGAUAUGCGGAUUGAAAAGAACUCUAUAACUCACAGAGUAGUUAUAAGAGUAGCUCUGCCUAGGAGAAUGGCUCCAUUCCCCCCCCCACCCAUACCCUGGGGGAUGACGAACGAAAGGGUACUGAUAUAUUGAUUACAGAAUGUGAAUCUACUGAUAUGAUAUUGUUGAUAAGUUACAGUUUUAGGAGUUCAUUUGGUUUUUACCCCAGGAUUUUUGGGAAUCUUGUUUUAAAAUUAUAUCAUGUGGGAGAUUCUUUUCCAGUUAGGGAGGCACUGGCCACACCUUAGCUCUUUCUGGAUAAGAAUUACCAACAGGCUCAGUUAUUUCUGCAGCAAAAGUUACAUAUGAGUUCUUUGACUUGGCAAUUUGCCUUGUAAAUAUUACAGCUGAAUCAAUCUUUGGUGCCAAUCUGUAACCCUCGCCAUGGAGAGUUGUUCAGGUCUUUUCACUGGAAAUAAACACAUUAGCUCUUUGCAGUUUCUGGGCUGAUCAAAUUUAUAGGCAACAAUUGAAAAAAAAAAAAGAUUAUUUGAACAAAAUAUGUUUAUAUUAGAAAUUUAAAAAAUUAAUUAUCAAGUCUAAAUGUUGAUUGACUAAUAACAGUAAUGACUAAUUAAUUUAUUAACUUGGGAGAAGAUAUGCCUGUGCUUUAUUAUCAGCAGGUUCAAGCAGUCACGUCAGACACCCAUCACCUUUGAGGAGUGAAAAGGGACACGUGUUUCAGGAUUCAAGAAGACAUCUAGUGAAGCUAAAGAACAGUGUCUUCAGCUGAUGGACUUUUACAUAAGUUUCAUUUAUUUGGACUCUAAGACAAAAAUUACUGGUUUUCCAAAAAGAUGUAAUUGUACCUCAUGUAAUAUCUCAUGUACUUUUGCUUGUA